rnacentral:lncRNA from 1 species
CAUCAACUGAUAACCUCGACCAUAUGACAAGCAACACAUAUAGCUGGAAUGUACAGACUAAAAAAGCUCGGAAGCGCUUGCGCUCUUUGGAGAAUUUUGUAUGAGCAUUUUCAGGCUGUUCUGGUGACACUAAAAAAUACUGGCUCUCCUGUAA